rnacentral:rRNA from 1 species
UACAGAGGUCUCAAGCGUUGUUCGGAUUCAUUGGGCGUAAAGGGUGCGUAGGUGGCAGGGUAAGUCGGAUGUGAAAUCCCGGGGCUCAACCUCGGAACUGCAUUCGAUACUGCUUUGCUUGAGUACUGGAGAGGAGAUUGGAAUUUACGGUGUAGCAGUGAAAUGCGUAGAUAUCGUAAGGAAGACCAGUGGCGAAGGCGGAUCUCUGGACAGUUACUGACACUGAGGCACGAAGGCGUGGGGAGCAAACAGG